CUCACUCUCCUAACGUUCAUCAAUCCUGAAAGUGAUGAAUUAAUUAUCCAGUCUAAUAAUAUAGAAUUUCUGUAUAAUUACUAUAUAUUCAAUAACUGCAUAAAUAUUCUUUGUCCCUGCUCAAUAUUUCAGAAGGAAAAAGAUUUUUUGAAAUGGCCGCUCCCUCCAAACCGCAUUCGAUUACUAAAGCCCCGAGCUAUCAAGAAGUGCCGCUCAUAGUGAUUCCUCGCCAAAUAGUGCCACUUCCGGCCGAAUUCUCCUCCAUCCCGAUGAAAUUAACGUGCAACGUGUGCCACACAGAGAUCUGGACAGCCACGGAGGAAAAAUGCAACCUAAUGCUGCUGCUAAAUGCUGCUGCAUUUUGCAAGUGCUAAUAAAUUCUAAGUUAAAUUUUAAUUAUUUUCGACUCUAAACUAAGUACCGCAUGCAGGUGGGGCGUUUGUGCGUUGUGCUGUUGUCAAGACGUGGAGCACAAGUGUCCGAACUGCAACGCUUUUCUGGGCAAGUACAGUGCGUCCGGGUAAUAGAAAAAUUUAAGGACGUUGCAAAUUCUGCCAUUUCUUGAAGUUAUUUCCAACUAUAAUGGAUAAAAUUUAAGGGACUCAAUAAAUAUGUCAGUCUUUAAUUGAUCA